rnacentral:rRNA from 1 species
AGGGUGUAAACGCUGCAGACUUGGUGUUGGAAGCCCUUUGGGGGCAUUCAGUGCCGGAGAGAAGUUGUUAAGUCUGCUACUUGGGGAGUACGUCCGCAAGGAUGAAACUUAAAGGAAUUGGCGGGGGAGCACCGCAACGGGAGGAGCGUGCGGUUUAAUUGGAUUCAACACCGUAAACUCACCAGGGAAGACUGUUACAUGAAAGCCGAGAUGAAGACUCUGCUAGAUUUUCAGAGAGGAGGUGCAUGGCGUCAGUGACU